rnacentral:rRNA from 1 species
UACAGAGGGUGCGGGCGUUGUUCGGAAUUAUUGGGCGUAAAGAGCUCGUAGGCGGUCUGUCGCGUCGGCUGUGAAAACCCGGGGCUCAACCCCGGGCCUGCAGUCGAUACGGGCAGACUAGAGUGCGGUAGGGGAGACUGGAAUUCCUGGUGUAGCGGUGAAAUGCGCAGAUAUCAGGAGGAACACCGGUGGCGAAGGCGGGUCUCUGGGCCGUAACUGACGCUGAGGAGCGAAAGCGUGGGGAGCGAACAGG